rnacentral:lncRNA from 13 species
CUGGGCUUCUGGUGCAAGAGCAGUAAGAUAAGGAGGAAUAUGAGGUGCCAACUCUCUACUUUCGUCCACAGCCCUCAGCCUCACCCUGCUGACCUCUGGCUCCUGCUUAGCUCAGGAACUGUGGACUCAGAACAAAGUUUGAGGUUCUGCUUCUCCGAUUCACCCCUUUCUCCUUCCUGAUUACUGGCAUGGAGCCAGGCACUGCAGGACGGAAAUCAGUGCCAACAAGGAGCCCUGGGAACAGAUUUGAUUUCCUACUGUCACCCUGGGGAGACAGCCCCUGUCUCCUAAGCACCCUGUGUGGAAACCAAGACUUUACGGAUAGCACUGAAUAUGUGUUUCCAAUGAGAAGUAACAGCUGCAAACUCAUUUGGAUGAUUAAGAUGGCUCAGAUCAACAACCUUGAGCAAGAUCCAGAAAAUAAAAAAAUCUGUCAGCACUACUACAGGAGGUUGCCAGAACAGGAGGUUGCCAGACAGAGGGGAAGUGCCAGCAGCCAGGGUCCUCUGGCCCAGGUGCAUCUGAAGCGUCCAGGUGAGAACAGAACUGCCAGAUGGAAGACACAUGGUGACGGCUGGGAGGGCCAAGGGCUUUGCACCUUGUCCAGGGGUAGGAAAAAUGCAGUCUGCUGAAGUGUGAACCAGAUGGAAAUGUAUUCUCACAUUUCUCUUCCUUCUUCUGAGAUAUGGUGGACCUUGGAUUCCCAUACAGGUUUCUCCAUAGCAGGGUAGGAAUUUGUCCCACAUGCAGGGAUGAGCCAGCCCCAGGAAGAGCAGUGGGCUGGACCAGAGCUGCUUCAAGCUGAUGGCAUGGCAUUGAGAUGUUUGUCCUAAUCUGUAAAACCUAUUUUCCCAUUCAAGGUGGUACCAUGUUGCAGCUUGUCUAUACAGACUUUCUAAAUAAGAUUUGGGAAGUUUUUUUGUUUUGUUUUGUUUUUAGAAAAAAUCUUAGACUGCAGCUCUCACUAUUUCUACUCAACACAAAUCCUUCUCCCUCUCCACAUACAUCUGGUCUUUCCUUAAGUGUUGCUAACCACAUGAGAGUCUCCUCUGCUCUGAAACUCACUCUGCCCUCUGUGUCAAUUACAUGGUUACUCUUCAUCACAGGUUUCCAAAAAAUCUUCAGCCAUGCACUCAAUCAGCAGAUCUUUUAUAGAGAACAUGCUAUAAGCAAGGCUACAGGAGAAAUAAGAUAGAUCACACAGUUUCUUUCUUUAAGGAGCUUCUCUCCAGGAUAAAGAAUUUAAACAAACCAGUAAAUCAUUAUAGUAUAAUAUCCUGCAUUUCAUACAUACAUAAGGCCCUAUGAUGAAUGUCAAAGUUGAUCAAAAUUUUAAAGGUCAUCUAGCCUUUAAAAUAUCCAGUUCCUCACAGGGUGGCCUUACAAAUCCCAUCACAACAUCGUCUUUGCACCCAGCAUUUGGAAGGCCUAAGUUUUGUGGUUAUGGAAAAAGAUCAGAGCCUCUUGAUGGAAUAAUUUAGGAGACAUGCCUGCACUUCUUGGUGUUUCCAUGCCUCUCUCAAUCCUGCUGGCCAUUUGAAUCCAGGGCUUGGCCUCUCCAGGACUCAGUUUUCUCCUCUGUUAACCGAGAGGGUUGGACUCCAUGGCUUUUGAGUCCCUUCCAGAGCUAAUAUUUUAUGAUCUAUGAUUAAGACUGGAAUGACAUUGUUGAGCCUGCUGUCCAGAGAAUGACCCACCAACUUUCAUAAAAACAAUCAUAAUUAACCUAUGUUAAUUGGUCAAUAAAACAAUCACAAUUUUAUAGCGUGAAACCUGA